UUAAGCGACUAAGCGUACACGGUGGAUGCCCUGGCAGUCAGAGGCGAUGAAGGACGUGCUAAUCUGCGAUAAGCGUCGGUAAGGUGAUAUGAACCGUUAUAACCGGCGAUUUCCGAAUGGGGAAACCCAGUGUGUUUCGACACACUAUCAUUAACUGAAUCCAUAGGUUAAUGAGGCGAACCGGGGGAACUGAAACAUCUAAGUACCCCGAGGAAAAGAAAUCAACCGAGAUUCCCCCAGUAGCGGCGAGCGAACGGGGAGCAGCCCAGAGCCUGAAUCAGUGUGUGUGUUAGUGGAAGCGUCUGGAAAGGCGCGCGAUACAGGGUGACAGCCCCGUACACAAAAAUGCACAUGCUGUGAGCUCGAUGAGUAGGGCGGGACACGUGGUAUCCUGUCUGAAUAUGGGGGGACCAUCCUCCAAGGCUAAAUACUCCUGACUGACCGAUAGUGAACCAGUACCGUGAGGGAAAGGCGAAAAGAACCCCGGCGAGGGGAGUGAAAAAGAACCUGAAACCGUGUACGUACAAGCAGUGGGAGCACGCUUAGGCGUGUGACUGCGUACCUUUUGUAUAAUGGGUCAGCGACUUAUAUUCUGUAGCAAGGUUAACCGAAUAGGGGAGCCGAAGGGAAACCGAGUCUUAACUGGGCGUUAAGUUGCAGGGUAUAGACCCGAAACCCGGUGAUCUAGCCAUGGGCAGGUUGAAGGUUGGGUAACACUAACUGGAGGACCGAACCGACUAAUGUUGAAAAAUUAGCGGAUGACUUGUGGCUGGGGGUGAAAGGCCAAUCAAACCGGGAGAUAGCUGGUUCUCCCCGAAAGCUAUUUAGGUAGCGCCUCGUGAAUUCAUCUCCGGGGGUAGAGCACUGUUUCGGCAAGGGGGUCAUCCCGACUUACCAACCCGAUGCAAACUGCGAAUACCGGAGAAUGUUAUCACGGGAGACACACGGCGGGUGCUAACGUCCGUCGUGAAGAGGGAAACAACCCAGACCGCCAGCUAAGGUCCCAAAGUCAUGGUUAAGUGGGAAACGAUGUGGGAAGGCCCAGACAGCCAGGAUGUUGGCUUAGAAGCAGCCAUCAUUUAAAGAAAGCGUAAUAGCUCACUGGUCGAGUCGGCCUGCGCGGAAGAUGUAACGGGGCUAAACCAUGCACCGAAGCUGCGGCAGCGACNGGCAGCGACGCUUAUGCGUUGUUGGGUAGGGGAGCGUUCUGUAAGCCUGUGAAGGUGUGCUGUGAGGUAUGCUGGAGGUAUCAGAAGUGCGAAUGCUGACAUAAGUAACGAUAAAGCGGGUGAAAAGCCCGCUCGCCGGAAGACCNACUAUGUGUUGUUGGGUAGGGGAGCGUUCUGUAAGCCUGUGAAGGUGUACUGUGAGGUAUGCUGGAGGUAUCAGAAGUGCGAAUGCUGACAUAAGUAACGAUAAAGCGGGUGAAAAGCCCGCUCGCCGGAAGACCAAGGGUUCCUGUCCAACGUUAAUCGGGGCAGGGUGAGUCGACCCCUAAGGCGAGGCCGAAAGGCGUAGUCGAUGGGAAACAGGUUAAUAUUCCUGUACUUGGUGUUACUGCGAAGGGGGGACGGAGAAGGCUAUGUUGGCCGGGCGACGGUUGUCCCGGUUUAAGCGUGUAGGCUGGUUUUCCAGGCAAAUCCGGAAAAUCAAGGCUGAGGCGUGAUGACGAGGCACUACGGUGCUGAAGCAACAAAUGCCCUGCUUCCAGGAAAAGCCUCUAAGCAUCAGGUAACAUCAAAUCGUACCCCAAACCGACACAGGUGGUCAGGUAGAGAAUACCAAGGCGCUUGAGAGAACUCGGGUGAAGGAACUAGGCAAAAUGGUGCCGUAACUUCGGGAGAAGGCACGCUGAUAUGUAGGUGAAGUCCCUCGCGGAUGGAGCUGAAAUCAGUCGAAGAUACCAGCUGGCUGCAACUGUUUAUUAAAAACACAGCACUGUGCAAACACGAAAGUGGACGUAUACGGUGUGACGCCUGCCCGGUGCCGGAAGGUUAAUUGAUGGGGUCAGCGCAAGCGAAGCUCUUGAUCGAAGCCCCGGUAAACGGCGGCCGUAACUAUAACGGUCCUAAGGUAGCGAAAUUCCUUGUCGGGUAAGUUCCGACCUGCACGAAUGGCGUAAUGAUGGCCAGGCUGUCUCCACCCGAGACUCAGUGAAAUUGAACUCGCUGUGAAGAUGCAGUGUACCCGCGGCAAGACGGAAAGACCCCGUGAACCUUUACUAUAGCUUGACACUGAACAUUGAGCCUUGAUGUGUAGGAUAGGUGGGAGGCUUUGAAGUGUGGACGCCAGUCUGCAUGGAGCCGACCUUGAAAUACCACCCUUUAAUGUUUGAUGUUCUAACGUUGACCCGUGAUCCGGGUUGCGGACAGUGUCUGGUGGGUAGUUUGACUGGGGCGGUCUCCUCCUAAAGAGUAACGGAGGAGCACGAAGGUUGGCUAAUCCUGGUCGGACAUCAGGAGGUUAGUGCAAUGGCAUAAGCCAGCUUGACUGCGAGCGUGACGGCGCGAGCAGGUGCGAAAGCAGGUCAUAGUGAUCCGGUGGUUCUGAAUGGAAGGGCCAUCGCUCAACGGAUAAAAGGUACUCCGGGGAUAACAGGCUGAUACCGCCCAAGAGUUCAUAUCGACGGCGGUGUUUGGCACCUCGAUGUCGGCUCAUCACAUCCUGGGGCUGAAGUAGGUCCCAAGGGUAUGGCUGUUCGCCAUUUAAAGUGGUACGCGAGCUGGGUUUAGAACGUCGUGAGACAGUUCGGUCCCUAUCUGCCGUGGGCGCUGGAGAACUGAGGGGGGCUGCUCCUAGUACGAGAGGACCGGAGUGGACGCAUCACUGGUGUUCGGGUUGUCAUGCCAAUGGCACUGCCCGGUAGCUAAAUGCGGAAGAGAUAAGUGCUGAAAGCAUCUAAGCACGAAACUUGCCCCGAGAUGAGUUCUCCCUGAC
rnacentral:rRNA from 1 species